UACGGGGGGAGCAAGCGUUGUUCGGAUUUACUGGGCGUAAAGGGCGCGUAGGCGGCCACCGCAAGUCGACUGUGAAAUCUCCGGGCUUAACCCGGAAAGGUCAACCGAUACUGCGGGGCUAGAGUGCAGAAGGGGCAACUGGAAUUCUCGGUGUAGCGGUGAAAUGCGCAGAUAUCAGGAGGAACACCGAUGGCGAAGGCAGGUCUCUGGGCAUUAACUGACGCUGAGGAGCGAAAGCAUGGGGAGCGAACAGG
rnacentral:rRNA from 1 species